rnacentral:rRNA from 1 species
AUUGAACGCUGGCGGCAGGCCUAACACAUGCAAGUCGAGCGGAUUCAGGUAGCUUGCUACCUGAGUUAGCGGCGGACGGGUGAGUAACACGUAGGAAUUUGCCCAGUAGUGGGGGAUAACGUUUCGAAAGGAGCGCUAAUACCGCAUACGCCCUAAGGGGGAAAGCAGGGGAUCUUCGGACCUUGCGCUAUUGGAGAAGCCUGCGUCGGAUUAGCUAGUUGGUGGGGUAAGGGCCUACCAAGGCGACGAUCCGUAGCUGGUCUGAGAGGAUGAUCAGCCACACUGGGACUGAGACACGGCCCAGACUCCUACGGGAGGCAGCAGUGGGGAAUAUUGGACAAUGGGGGAAACCCUGAUCCAGCCAUGCCGCGUGUGUGAAGAAGGCCUUCGGGUUGUAAAGCACUUUCAGUGGGGAGGAAGGCCCUGUGGCUAAUAUCCACGGGGAUUGACGUUGCCCACAGAAGAAGCACCGGCAAACUCCGUGCCAGCAGCCGCAGUAA